AGCGGCGGCAGUGGCUCUAGCGGCAGUAGCAGCAGCGCCGGCUUGCCGUGCGGAGGUUCCUCUAGCGUUGUUGUUUCUCCAGCGGCGGCAGUUCUCACUACAGCGCCAGGACGAGUCCGGUUCGCGUUCGACCGCGGAGAUCUCUCUCAUCUCGCUCGGCUGCGGGAAAUCGGGCUGAAGCGACUGAGUCCGCGAUGGAGAAAACUUUAGAAACUGUUCCUUUGGAGAGGAAAAAGAGAGAAAAGGAACAGUUCCGUAAACUCUUUAUUGGUGGCUUGAGCUUUGAAACAACAGAAGAAAGUUUGAGGAACUACUACGAACAAUGGGGGAAACUUACAGACUGUGUGGUAAUGAGAGAUCCUGCAAGCAAAAGAUCAAGAGGAUUUGGUUUUGUAACUUUUUCAUCCAUGGCUGAGGUUGAUGCCGCCAUGGCUGCAAGACCUCAUUCAAUUGAUGGGAGAGUGGUCGAGCCAAAACGUGCUGUUGCAAGAGAGGAAUCUGGAAAGCCAGGCGCUCAUGUAACUGUGAAGAAGCUGUUUGUUGGUGGAAUUAAAGAAGAUACUGAGGAACAUCAUCUUAGAGAUUACUUUGAGGAAUAUGGAAAAAUUGAUACCAUUGAGAUAAUUACCGAUAGGCAGUCUGGAAAGAAAAGAGGCUUUGGAUUUGUUACUUUUGAUGACCAUGAUCCUGUGGAUAAGAUUGUGUUGCAGAAAUACCAUACCAUCAAUGGUCAUAAUGCAGAAGUAAGAAAGGCUUUGUCUAGACAAGAAAUGCAGGAAGUUCAAAGUUCUAGAAGUGGAAGAGGAGGAAACUUUGGUUUUGGAGAUUCUCGAGGUGGCGGUGGAAAUUUUGGACCGGGACCUGGAAGUAACUUUAGAGGAGGGUCUGAUGGCUAUGGAAGUGGUCGUGGCUUUGGGGAUGGCUAUAAUGGGUAUGGAGGAGGACCUGGAGGUGGCAAUUUUGGAGGUAGCCCUGGUUAUGGAGGAGGAAGAGGAGGAUAUGGUGGUGGAGGACCUGGAUAUGGCAACCAGGGUGGGGGCUACGGAGGUGGUUAUGACAACUAUGGAGGAGGAAAUUACGGAAGUGGAAAUUACAAUGAUUUUGGAAAUUAUAACCAGCAACCUUCUAACUAUGGUCCAAUGAAGAGUGGAAAUUUUGGUGGUAGCAGGAACAUGGGGGGACCAUAUGGUGGAGGAAACUAUGGUCCUGGAGGAAGUGGAGGAAGUGGGGGCUAUGGAGGGAGAAGCCGAUAUUGAGCUUCUUCCUAUUUGCCAUGGAUCUUUUAGAUGCUGCUUCUUCAAUGCAAGGAAAGGAAAAUAACCCCAGCGAGGUACUCUACAGGGAUACAGGUCUAGUACAAGAAAACUCUUGGCGGAUACUAAGUUCAGCCAGUCUUAAAAAACUGUGCUGUUUCUACAAAGCUUUAACUACAGUAGUUUAUAAGGAUGCCAACGAAAGCUGAGGGUGUAGAGCAAAUAGUUCUAAGCUUCAGUUAAACUUCUUUAGCAUUGAUAUGAACCAUGGACAAGUAUAUUCCGCUGCCACAAAGACUGUAAAGUGCUUCAUUUCAACAGCUGAGGCAAGCCAAGUGAUUAAUAAAGCUUUUCUUGGUUCCUUCAGUGGUGUUGGUAGUAAAAUGGAAGGUGUCUUGCUGCAGGUAACUAAUGAAGAAGUGGUCAACCACAGAGUCUUCAAGAAAUAAGAAAUUCUGUACCAUCUGAAAGUAGUUCUUGUUGGUGCCUUCAUUUUAAAAAGCACUCUUUAAGAUUAAAGGGGAAUGUUCUCUGAUAAAAUACAAACUUUUUUAGUAUAGGUUCUAAAUAUAGAACAAUUACAAGUUGAGUAUUGUUUGUAAAAGUAACAUCAAAUCAGCCAGAGAGAUAAAUGUAUCAUGUUUUAAAUUAGGUUUUGUGAGUAGACAGAUUAAAGUUCUAUUUUAAAUAUAAAGUUUAUAAAAUAAAUACUUUUGUAUCCAAAUACUUGGUGUAAUGUUUACACAUAGAAUGUGUGAAUCUUGUUCUAUGAGCUUUUCAGUUGUCUAAAGAAUUGCCAUCCCCUAGAUUUUUAAAGCAGUUUCACAAAACUCUGCGUAUCGCCAUUUUUCUAUCAAUAUUAACAGACAUGAGAAAAGCAUGUGGACAUUAUUGCCUGUCCCUAAUAAAAAUGCCAUUCUUUA